CCUACGGGGUGCAGCAGUGAGGAAUAUUGGUCAAUGGCCGGAAGGCUGAACCAGCCAUGCCGCGUGCAGGUCAGUGCCCUAUGGGCGUUAAACUUCUUUUGUGCGGGAGCAAUAAUGGUCACGUGUGGCCAGACGAGAGUACCGUACGAAUAAGCAUCGGCUAACUCCGGGCCAGCAGCCGCGGUAAUACGGGGGAUGCAAGCGUUAUCCGGAGUUAUUGGGGUUAAAGGGUGCGUAGGCGGUGAGGUAAGUCAGCGGUGAAAUGCCCCCGCUCAACGGGGUGAAGUGCCAUUGAUGCUGGCUUGCUGGAAUGUGUAUGCCGUGGGAGGAAUGUGUGGUGUAGCGGUGAAAUGCAUAGAUAUCACACAGAACACCGAUUGCGAAGGCAUCUCACGAAUCCGCGAUUGACGCUGAUGCACGAAAGCGUGGGUAUCAAACAGGAUUAGAUACCCGAGUAGUC
rnacentral:rRNA from 1 species